rnacentral:rRNA from 1 species
UACGGAGGGUGCAAGCGUUAUCCGGAUUCACUGGGUUUAAAGGGUGCGUAGGUGGGUUGGUAAGUCAGUGGUGAAAUCUCCAAGCUUAACUUGGAAACUGCCGUUGAUACUAUCAAUCUUGAAUCUCGUGGAGGUAAGCGGAAUAUGUCAUGUAGCGGUGAAAUGCUUAGAUAUGACAUAGAACACCGAUAGCGAAGGCAGCUUGCUACACGAGUAUUGACACUGAGGCACGAAAGCGUGGGGAGCAAACAGG